GACGUAGGGCGCGAGCGUUGUCCGGAUUUAUUGGGCGUAAAGAGCUCGUAGGCGGCUUGUUACGUCGACUGUGAAAACCCGCGGCUCAACCGUGUGGUCUGCAGUCGAUACGGGCAGGCUAGAAUUCGGUAGGGGAGACUGGAAUUCCUGGUGUAGCGGUGAAGUGCGCAGAUAUCAGGAGGAACACCGGUGGCGAAGGCGGGUCUCUGGGCCGAUAUUGACGCUGAGGAGCGAAAGCGUGGGGAGCAAACAGG
rnacentral:rRNA from 1 species